rnacentral:piRNA from 1 species
UAAAAUAGUCACCAUUACAAA